GAUUCCCGCCGCGCGCGGCGGGCGGGGCGGGGGCACGGGGGCCUACGGGAGGCAGCAGUAGGGAAUAUUGCUCAAUGGGCGAAAGCCUGAAGCAGCAACGCCGCGUGUGUGAUGAAGGCCUUCGGGUCGUAAAGCACUUUUCUGGGAGAUGAGAAAGGACAGUAUCCCAGGAAUAAGUCUCGGCUAACUACGUGCCAGCAGCCGCGGUAAUAAU
rnacentral:rRNA from 1 species